GACGAACGCUGGCGGCGUGCUUAACACAUGCAAGUCGAACGGUAAGGCCCUUCGGGGUACACGAGUGGCGAACGGGUGAGUAACACGUGGGUGAUCUGCCCUGCACUUCGGGAUAAGCCUGGGAAACUGGGUCUAAUACCGGAUAGGACCACUGCCUGCAUGGGUGGUGGUGGAAAGGUUUUGCGGUGUGGGAUGGGUCCGCGGCCUAUCAGCUUGUUGGUGGGGUGAUGGCCUACCAAGGCGACGACGGGUAGCCGGCCUGAGAGGGUGACCGGCCACACUGGGACUGAGAUACGGCCCAGACUCCUACGGGAGGCAGCAGUGGGGAAUAUUGCACAAUGGGCGCAAGCCUGAUGCAGCGACGCCGCGUGAGGGAUGACGGCCUUCGGGUUGCAAACCUCUUUCAGCACCGACGAAGCGCAAGUGACGGUAGGUGCAGAAGAAGGACCGGCCAACUACGUGCCAGCAGCCGCAGUAA
rnacentral:rRNA from 1 species